rnacentral:lncRNA from 1 species
AUGGAGCCUGAGCAGCAAGGCUACCCUUUACCAGAUACAAAAGAAAAAGUAAAAACCGAAAUGGAAUUAGACCAGCAAGUUGAGCCUCAAAAGAGCCAUUGUGAACAGGCCAAGGAUGAAUCUAGUCCCAAACACUGGGGUGGAAUUCCACUGCUCCCAGAACAACAGGACCAAACUUUAUCUGCCCAAGACCAUCAGCUGGAGUUUACAUCAGACCAUUACCAGGGGACCACAACUCUACUUGGCCCUCUGUACAGGACUGAGGCUCAACUCGGCCAUGAGUAUUUGUCAGGAGUUAAAAAAAGAAACCAAGCUAUAUCUCCUCUGCAUAUGCACCAUUUAGGAAAAGGUUCAUCAGGUCUUAAAACUCAGGCCACAUCUUUACCAGACCCUGAUUUAGAUAACAAACCUUCCUAUGCUGAACUCCAAGCUACAACUACAAUAGGCCAUGCCCAACAAGAGAAGACUCCAGCAAACUCCAGAUUUUUAGCCAUACCUCAUCAGGACCUAAACCACUGGGGUAAGGUACCAAUACACAGUGAGGAUGAGGUUGAACUUUUACCCAGUGCCUGUUACUAUGUCAAUGCAGUGCAAACAAUGGAGUCUUCAUGGUGUUUCAGAUACAUCAAACUAUAUACCAUUGAAGGAGGAACUAUUUCUGAUGGAACUGUUGACAAGAUCAUCAAUUCUAUCUCCCAGGAGAAAAUUAAAACUGAUAUACAAAAGAUUCUCUUAGAAUGCCCCACUCCUCAAACUGGCCACAGCCUAUCAUCAAAUUAUAACAUUUGUUUACUCUGUGCCUCCUGGAUUCCACACGGCUGUUCCCAUGUUAAUGAAAUGAAUUAUCACAGUAGAGCACAAUUGGUGGCUAUGACAACAUUUAUUCCUGGUUCUAAGGUGAAGACGGGUAUUAAAUUUGUUCUUGAACUUCCUAAACAACAGGCUUCCUCUACAUUUUGCCUUACCUUACCCCAUUAUGAUAUGCCUGGACCAUCAAACCCAUUGCUUCCUUUUCCAUCACCUGGCUGCUCAGACACUACUCCACUUGAAUUACCCAUUGAUCACUUGGAGGCACCAAUGACUACCUGGCUUGACUGUAUAUGUGUCAAAGAUUGUUACUUAACUGGGAGACAAACACCUAGAAGUCAGCCAUCAUUCCUAGGGAAAAUGUCUGAGCAGAGCAAUGCCAUCAGAGAAGAAGAGGCAAGGGGUUCUGGGGGAGUAUUCAAAUCUCUAUUAGAGAAAUUUCAAAGAAAGAGCAAAUUAAAAAGA